CGCUUCGAUGGGCUGGGGCGGCCACUUCGGCUCCGGCCGGGUGAGACGGGCCAGCUCGUCCGGCGGUUCGGCGCCGUCCUGGACGGCC
rnacentral:tRNA from 1 species